AGCUCAAGUUUGAGGCCAUAGCAGAAGCACUUGUGGCUCAGCCUUGUCAGAUUCCAACAAAUCUGCAAAUUCUGCU
rnacentral:ribozyme from 1 species